CCUUUGUGUUGUUGUAAUCCCAUAUAAAAUCUCAGCUGAUCGUAAACAUGUGUUGACAAGCAAAAAAAUCUACAGGUAUCCUAAAAAUUUCUGGAUUCUCGUGAAUCUGAGAUUUGAAGAACAGCUGAUUCGUGUUCACAAACGUAUCGGAUACUUAGGUAUCUCGGAUAGGGUAUCUGUGCGUACGUGAACGCACCCAAUUACAUUUCAAGUAAAGUAUUAAAUUUCAAAACAAACCGAGAAGACGAUGUGUUAAACUUAUCUACAAAAGUGAGCCAUUAAAUAAAAAACAAAAAUUGGUUUACAUAAUUUUUCUUUGUUCCCGCAUACUCUUCUUCAUCAUUUUCAUUAGUCUACAAGGAAUCAUCAUUUGAUGGGCUAAAGUUUGAUCCACCUGAGAUUGAGCGAGCUCUUCUCUUUGCAACUAACAACGCUCUGGUUUGAAGAUGCCAUGAAAGUCCAUUUCAUGCUCUCGCAUUGGAUGGAACUUUCUAUCGGAUAUCUGGAUUCUGGAGUAACUUCCAUGUUGUCGCUCGCGAAGCCAAGCAUACCUACUUAUAUGACUCAGUUAAAAAUACAAAAAGAAAAACACCGAGGAAAUGAAGGAGUUGUUGAAAGCCAAAUUCAGGUUUCGCAAAUUGUCUCAAAUACAUCAGUAUGGUCAAUUUAGAUUCGUCAAAAAAAUCUAGGUAUCCCACAAUUCGAUCGACAGUUGGAGGAUGCCCCGAGCUCGGCAAGGUGGCUAUAAAACUACAAAAAACAGAAUGAAUGAAAAUCAAAUUGAUAUCAACUAAACACUUGACCGUACCGGAAGGGUAUGCGGUAGAGGAACGGGUAAUUGUAUGAACAAAAUUCUAAACUGAAACAUUAAUGUUAAGGCGUGGAACUUUUUUCAUCUAAUUACCCGUACCACUACCGCAUACCCGUCCGUUGCGGCCAAGCCUUAAAUCUCGUCGAGAACUUUGCAAAUUUAUUAACACAUUAUUUAAAAAUGCUCUCCGAGAAAAAAGCAAAGGUCGCAUUUGAAAAAGUUUCCAAGGCAAUAGAUAGCACUCAUAAGUCUUUACCAAGAAAUAAAGACGCACAGGCUUAUCUAGGAACCUCAUGUGGAUGGAAUAAGUUAUAAUUAUGUUGCACCAAGAAAACGUUUUCAGUCAAUGAGUAAUUUGAGUGGUGGUGAGAAAACUAUUGCUGCUUUUUCUAUGUGCACUUUACAACCUGAUCCAUUUUUGUUUCAUCUAUAAACGAGAUCACAUCACAAUGAACCAUCAAACUAUUGCCAUUUCGCUCAAAGAGGAGUUUUAUGUGCAUGCUGUUGCUUUGGUUGGAAUUUCACCAGCUGUGAGUUCUCAUCGAUGGAACAAAACGUGUCAAUGGAGAAACAAAUUCCACACAAGGCGCAAUGAUAACAAUUGUUAAUUAAAAUUAUUUGCGUUUCAAUAAUCCUGCCGAAGCUCAACUUAUACGCAAUUUCAUAGGCAGCAACGAACGAAUCUCGAUGCCACCUUAUAAAACCUAAUUUAAAUGGACUUAAUAUUAAUGCCAGGAUAAUAUUAAAGUCCUACAAAUCAUUUUUUAGAAGGACACUGCCCCGUUUCUCACAAAUGAUGGAUAAAAAUGUGAAAAGAAAGCCAAAGUAAACAAAAACUAAGUUAAAACUUGUCUGCAUCCCUGACACAGUAGUAUCUACUUGCUGCUUAGUUAAAAAUACAAUAUGUUCGCAUCUAAAAAGUACAAGAAAUGGGUGAGGCUAUCCAUGUGUUACGUACUGCAUGUGCGCCCUCCAUUGCAACAACAGCAGCAACAACUUCCGUCACAUCAGCAACAUGCACCGCAGCAACUGCACCAUCAGCAACCUUUUCAAAUGAUUCCUCCACAAAAACAUUCCCAACCACCUCCACAGCAGAAUCCUCUAUACCACCAGGGAAUGCAUCCUCAAAACUUCAAUCUACCGACAUUUGGUAUACCGCCCCCGGGCUGCGGUGGGUAUCAACCUGCAUGGGAUGAGCACAAUCUCCAUGUGGAAUGCAAUGGAAAGAGAUGAAGUCCAAAAACUGAUGGAAGAUGCUCAUCUUAAUGGAAAAUUUUUAUUUAGUGAAUUAAGUCAACGUUAUGGACGCCAAGAUCACAACAAAGCCAUCGAAGAAGUACGUGAACGUUUUUUUCAAAGAGUACAUUGUCGAUUUUCUUCUCAAGAAAGAAGAGGAAAAAAUUCAGAAAAAGUAAAAGGUAUGUGCAAAGUUUCUGGUGUCUAUUAUUGAGGCAAGUUACCAUAAUGUUGUUUUUUUUUGAAAAUUUUAUAUAAUAAUAAAAAAAUUAAUGAAAAUAUUAUAACAAUCUUAUGUCGUUUUCUAUUGACUUUUGAGAUUUUUUACAAGAUUUACAACUUUAAAUCAAAAUAUCCACAAAAUAAAAUUGCAAAAAUAUU